rnacentral:rRNA from 1 species
GUGGGGAAUUUUGGACAAUGGGCGCAAGCCUGAUCCAGCAAUGCCGCGUGCAGGAAGAAGGCCUUCGGGUUGUAAACUGCUUUUGUACGGAACGAAACGGUCCGGGUUAAUACCCUGGGCUAAUGACGGUACCGUAAGAAUAAGCACCGGCUAACUACGUGCCAGCAGCCGCGGUAAUACGUAGGGUGCAAGCGUUAAUCGGCAUUACUGGGCGUAAAGCGUGCGCAGGCGGUUUUGUAAGACAGGCGUGAAAUCCCCGGGCUCAACCUGGGAAUUGCGCUUGUGACUGCAAGGCUGGAGUGCGGCAGAGGGGGAUGGAAUUCCGCGUGUAGCAGUGAAAUGCGUAGAUAUGCGGAGGAACACCGAUGGCGAAGGCAAUCCCCUGGGCCUGCACUGACGCUCAUGCACGAAAGCGUGGGGAGCAAACAGGAUUAGAUACCCGUGUAGUCC